UACGUAGGUGGCGAGCGUUGUCCGGAAUUACUGGGUGUAAAGGGCGUGUAGGCGGGAUGUAAGUCAGAUGUGAAACUCCGAAGCUUAACUUCGGAACUGCAUCUGAAACUGUGUCUCUUGAGUGCUGGAGAGGAAAGCGGAAUUCCUAGUGUAGCGGUGAAAUGCGUAGAUAUUAGGAGGAACACCAGUGGCGAAGGCGGCUACCUGGACCGAUAUUGACGCUGAGACGCGAAAGCGUGGGUAGCAAACAGGAUUAGAAACCCCGGAGUC
rnacentral:rRNA from 1 species